AUUUUGUAAUCAAAAUGUUCGAACGUGGUGAUGACCAUUUCUGUAAUAUCCACCGACCAAGUCGAAAUAUUGAAGGAUUAUUUAUAUUCUAUGACAUUGACUUCGUUUCUAUAUAUAGUGCUCGGAAGCUCUAGAAUUUUAACCGUCAUAGGCUCUACCAGGUGCAACAUCAACUAGUGGUUAUUAGAGCAACCGUCGAGUUCAAGUUAAUUAUGAACAAGAGAUGUUCUGCAAUCUAGAGUUUGUCCACUACAAUCUCUGUUUGGCCCAUAUCAUGCCCUGAGCAGGUGCAACCUCGGCGGAUGUAUGACCCCAAAAAUUAGAGCACCAAACUAUUCUUAGAUAAGUACUGCACUUUAAUGCCACUUAGUUAGACUAAAAAAUAAAAAUAAAACAAUCAUCGGUUAUACCCUAACCCUAAGCAGCCUAAGGCUAAAUCCAGGCUGGCCUGUACCUGUAUGCCUCCACUUGGGCCGCGACUCCAGGCCGCAUUAAGUCGGUACUUGACCGGCGAGUGCCAUGCCUCGGCGCUGAAAAGAGCGAGAGGGAGAGGACACCUGAUCUGGUGGGGGGGCAAGGAGAGAUACAGAGAGAAAAGAAGGCGGCGGCUGGGAGAAGGGGAGGAAUAAAAGGAAAGUAAGGUUGAGAUUGGAUGUUUUUAUAGGUGUGGUUGCGAGGUAUCCCCUGA
rnacentral:lncRNA from 1 species